CCCUUCAUCUCUCCCUCCCGUCCAUGCCCUCUUCCGCCGCCCCCCUCACCGGCCAACUCCGGCGUCCCCCUGCACCUCAAACCACUGCCCCCGAACCCCCUCCUCCUCCUCUCCCUACUCCACCGCGUGGAACCACCAAAUUCCACCCCCAGUAGGAACCCUAGCCCCGGAUCCAGGCUGUACAGAGAGGAGUAGGAGGCCAAGCUCGGGUAUUUUCCGUUCAUGGCGACGACGGCGCCUCGGAGACGAGGGACUGGGCGGAGCUGCCGCGGGACGUGUUGGCGACCGUCUACGAAAAGUUGGGCCUGGCGGGCAACCCUGGUCUCCGCGCCGGGGACCACGGCCUCCUCCUCUCCCUCGCCAAGCAACAUUACCUUGGCAUCCACAUGGAGGCUGGAGCGGUGGCAGCGCUGGACCUUUGCUGUGUAAUCGGAUGCAAAACCUCAUCGCUGCAUCCCCUUAACUAAUCUGUUGAUAAGUCUUGUGUCACCGAAUUAAAAGUUUCAUCUCUUUGGAUUGGACAGUAAUAUGGAAAGCGACCUCAACCAGAUCAGGCUGAAGAAGCUCCAAGACAUCUGAAGCCCUACUUCUUUUGUUCUACCUGUUGCCAUUCUGGAAUCAAACAGGUACUGAUGGUGCGAAGGCCGCGGUGGUGAGGUACUGAUGCCGUGAAGCUAUCUGGUGCACUUCAGCGGCCAAGUGCUGCUCAGGCUAGUUCUUCCUUUCCUGGGGUCCUGGGGCGAUGGCGCAUUGCUCCGUCCAAGUCUGGGUGAGUUGCUGGGGCGAUGUUGUGCCACUCCAGCCAGUUCUGGUGAUCAUGGGGGCGAGUUCCUGUGGUGAUGGAGUGCUGCUCUGGUCAGUUAUGGGGAUCGUGGUGCGAGUUCCUUUGAUGGUGCUGGGAUGGGCCGAGAUGGUGCACGGAAAUGGCUUUCCCGAGCAUGUAGAUGUUAUUUGUUGGGCAAAAAUGACAGUCGGGAUGUGUUUAUAUGUAUGUGUUAUUGAAUCAUUGGAAUGUUGUAAUUACUUAUUUAAGGUUGUUAUCACAAGAAUUUCUGAAUUA